UACAGAGGUCUCAAGCGUUGUUCGGAUUCAUUGGGCGUAAAGGGUGCGUAGGCGGCGCGGUAAGUCGGGUGUGAAAUCUCGGAGCUUAACUCCGAAACUGCAUUCGAUACUGCCGUGCUUGAGGACUGGAGAGGAGACUGGAAUUUACGGUGUAGCGGUGAAAUGCGUAGAUAUCGUAAGGAAGACCAGUGGCGAAGGCGGGUCUCUGGACAGUUCCUGACGCUGGAGGCACGAAGGUCAGGGGAGCAAACGGG
rnacentral:rRNA from 1 species